CUCCCAGGCGCUCUCCAGCCUCGGAGUGUCUUGACUGCGAUCCCUGCAGCCGCCGCAGCUCCCUCCGGCCUCUGUCUCCCACCUCAGCUUUGGAGUAGGGCAGCCCUGGCCGCAGCAAACCCUGUCCACCCCACCCCCUACCCCCGUGCAUAUAUGCAUGGGAAGAAAAGCGCUGGUUUUGAGGGGAUGCUCUGAUACAAUUAAAAAGCAAACGGAAAACUCUGUCCAAAUGGAGAGCAGCAAUUACUCACUGCCAGGACAUUCGGAAAUAACUUUUAAGGUCUGGAAUCAAUCCAUACAUUGAUAUUCAAGGCCGCAGCACAUAUGGGGUGGGUGUCCACUUUUUUUCUUUUUCUUUCUUAUUUUUCCUGAUCAAGGGGACCCUUGCUUCUUGUCAGCCAUGAAUGUUUGCUUAUGCUUGGAGUGCAAAGGCUCAAAGAGAUUCCAGUUCCAUGGUUUGCCACAACUGACUCAGAGGCAGCUGCCUGAGGAAAACACCUGGUUAAGGCUCAGAAGAAGCCUGUAAUUUGAAUAUGUUUAAUCUCCUUUCUCAGGACUGACAGUUAAAAAAUGGACACUUCAUAGAAAUCUGAAAAAUAGGCUUACUUAGAAAAAAUGUUGUGUUUAUAGUAUGUUUGGAACUGGUGUGUCCUGUUUUCUGAAAUCGUGAUCUUUUUAUUCCUGCUUUAACUUCAGGUCCUCUCCACCCUCCUCAUAGUCCACAGUGAAGUCAUAAACCUCUCCAUAGCAACUAAUUGGGAGGUUAUAAUCAGGGGAUUAUUACUUCAGGCAGGGGGGAAAUAGGAGGAAUAAAUGAGUUCUUCAAAACAAUAUCCUGUUUUCAUGCAAAAUACUAAUCUAAAAUAAAAAAUCUACAAAGAAAGAU